UACGAGGGGGGCAAAUGUUGUUCGGAAUCACUGGGCGUAAAGGGCGCGUAGGCGGUCGUGACAAGUCACUUGUGAAAUCUCCGGGCUUAACUCGGAACGGUCAAGUGAUACUGUCGGACUAGAGUACAGAAGGGGCAACUGGAAUUCUCGGUGUAGCGGUGAAAUGCGUAGAUAUCGAGAGGAACACCUGCGGCGAAGGCGGCUCACUGGCCCGGUACUGACGCUGAGGCACGAAAGCGUGGGGAGCAAACAGG
rnacentral:rRNA from 1 species